GCUUAACGCGAAGAACCUUACCACCUUUUGGCAUGCCUGGACCGCCACAGAGAUGUGGCUUUCCCUUCGGGGACUGGGACACAGGUGCUGCAUGGCUGUCGUCAGCUCGUGUCGUGAGAUGUUGGGUUAAGUCCCGCAACGAGCGCAACCCUCGCCAUUAGUUGCCAUCAUUCAGUUGGGAACUCUAAUGGGACUGCCGGUGCUAAGCCGGAGGAAGGUGGGGAUGACGUCAAGUCCUCAUGGCCCUUACAGGGUGGGCUACACACGUGCUACAAUGGCGACUACAGAGGGUUAAUCCUUAAAAGUCGUCUCAGUUCGGAUUGUCCUCUGCAACUCGAGGGCAUGAAGUUGGAAUCGCUAGUAAUCGCGGAUCAGCAUGCCGCAGUGAAUACGUUCCCGGGUCUUGUACACACCG
rnacentral:rRNA from 1 species